rnacentral:lncRNA from 13 species
AAAUAGAUUUCAAAGCUACAAGGAUGCAAGGGUAAAAGGAUUAAUACAACAAUAAGAGAUCUUAACACCCAGAUACAUAAGACACAUAAUGAGAUUUAGAUUCAACGAGACAACAAAUUGAUAAGAUAUCCAGGACUUGAACUCAGAGCCAGAACAAAUAAACACAAUAGAGGUCUCCAUUUUAAACACAUAAAAUAUGAAAAAAAAAAAAAGAGAAUACCACAUGCAUGUGUGAGCAUGUGUGGACACACACACGUGCUCACACAUACAUAUGCUUCCCACCAAAUGCAUGUGAUACUAUGAGAUGUCUCCCAGCUGCACAGCUCUUCCCCCCGCUACUGUAAAACAUACUCCCUCACUCUGGGACUAGGUAUCCCCAUCUGUCAAGUGGGCUUGGAUCAGAUGACCCUAAGGCUACCUUUAGUCUUCCCAGGGAACCGUGAGAUUCCCCAGCCCUCAAACGUUGGGCCAACACUCACCAAACACGUAUAUACGCCAGGCAAUGAGUGUAGAGCAGUGACCAAGACAGACCCAGUCCCCAUCCCACAGAGAUCCACACUGCCCUCCCCACGCACACCUGGGAGCAGAAGCCCCCACUGCCCUCCGAUGUGGAUCUGAUCCCUAGCUGGCUAAGCCCAGAUACCGGGUGCCGACACUCAGCAAGGCCUCACCCUGCCUUCCCUCCCUCUCCCCUCUCAGGUCCACAUCCAGAGGCUAGAGCUGGCGUUGCUCUGCUUCACCGUCCUAGAGCUCUUCCUGCCAGUGCCCACGGCUGUCACAGCCUGGAGAGGGGACCACCUGUCUGCAAAGGCUGGAGUGCAAUGGCACAUUCUUGGCUCACCACAACCUCCACCUCCUGGGUUCAAGCAAUUCUCCCACCUCAGCCUCCAAGUAACUGGGACUACAGGCACGUGCCACCACACCUGGCUAAUUUUUGUAUUUUUUUAAGUAGAGAUGAGGUUUUGCCCUGUUGGUCAGGCUGAUCUCAAACUCUUGACCUCAAGUGAUCUGCCGGCCUUGGCCUCCCAAAAUGCUGAGAUUACAGGCAUGAGCCACCGGGCCCAGCCCUCAAAAACCCAUUGAGGUACUUAAAUUCCCAUACUACAGACUAGUAAGCUGAGGUUCAGAGAGAUCACAUCACUUCCUAAGGCAAAGCAGCCAGUAAGAAGAUCCAGGACGCAGCCUGAGCUACGUCUAACCCACAGCCUCGCCCUUGUCUACCCUUGGGGAUGGCAGAACGGCAGACUGGGCUAGAUAUAUUUUAAAAUAGAAGGCAAGUCUCUCCCUACCACAAAGACCCUGAGCAGUUCAGGAUAAGGAUGUUUUAUUUUAAAAAUUAAGGAAUAAAAAAUAAAGAACCUGACCA